rnacentral:rRNA from 1 species
UACCAGCACCCCGAGUGGUCGGGACGAUUAUUGGGCCUAAAGCAUCCGUAGCCGGUCCUACAAGUCUUCCGUUAAAUCCAUCUGCUUAACAGAUGGGCUGCGGAAGAUACUAUAGAGCUAGGAGGCGGGAGAGGCAAGCGGUACUCGAUGGGUAGGGGUAAAAAUCCGUUGAUCCAUUGAAGACCACCAGUGGCGAAGGCGGCUUGCCAGAACGCGCUCGACGGUGAGGGAUGAAAGCUGGGGGGAGCAAACCGGG